AAGUCGUAACAAGGUUUCCGUAGGUGAACCUGCGGAAGGAUCAUUAUUACGUAUCCACGUAUCAAACCAAAUUGUGAACUGUCUCCACAUGUAUGAGUGAGGGUAUCUGCGAGUGUUCUAAAAACGAUUGCAUUAAAAAUGCACAGUUGGAGGGUCUUUAUGACUCUAGAGAAGACACUCGGUCCUAGGCCUCGCCUAGCUCGCUGUAACAUGUGGUUUAUUUUUUUUAAUUCUCGUCCACUGUGCGACACAUUUAUUAACCCCUUGUAAACAAUUGAACUAAACUACCUUGAGGAACAAGCACUUUGGUGUUUGCAACUCUAGGAUAAACCGAAACUUAAGAACAACUCUUAACAACGGAUAUCUUGGUUCUC
rnacentral:misc_RNA from 1 species